UCCGUAGGUGAACCUGCGGAAGGAUCAUUAUUGAAUCCUCAAGGAUGUUGCUGGCCUCUCAGGAGGCAUGUGCACUCCGCCUUUCAAUUCACCUGUGAACUUAUUGUAGGCCCGAGUGGUCUAUGUUUUAAACACACCCAAAAGUCUAAUAGAAUGUCUAAUAGUAGGCCUUAUGGUCAAAACUUUAAUACAACUUUCAACAAUGGAUCUCUUGGUUCUCGCAUCGAUGAAGAACGCAGCGAAUUGCGAUAUGUAAUGUGAAUUGCAGAAUUCAGUGAAUCAUCGAAUCUUUGAACGCACCUUGCACCCUUUGGUAUUCCGAAGGGUAUGCCUGUUUGAGUGUCAUUAAAUUCUCAACUUCAAAAUUAUUUUUGAAGCUUGGACUUUGGAGGCUUUGCCGGCGUCAUUGUCAGCUCCUCUUGAAUGCAUUAGCGGAACUUUUUUAAAGGCUAGGCUUUGGUUUGAUAAUAAUAUCUAUGCCGUCGCUGUGACUUUGUGUGUUCAGCUUAUAAUUGUCUUUGGACUGUCUCUUUCGAGGCAUGAAUACAAAAGGUUGACCUCAAAUCAGGUAGGACUACCCGCUGAACUUAAGCAUAUCAAUAAGCGGAGG
rnacentral:rRNA from 1 species